rnacentral:rRNA from 1 species
UGAUGACGAGACGCUAAGGCGUUGAAGCAGUGUAUGUCAGACUUCCAAGAAAAGCUCGCAAUGUCAUGAAUAAAACCUGCCUGUACCAUAACCGACACAGGUGGGUAGGUAGAGUAUACUAAGGGGCGCGAGAUAACUCUCUCUAGGAACUCGGCAAAAUGACUCCGUAACUUCGGGAGAAGGAGUGCCUUAUUUAUAAGGUUGCAAUAACAAGAUCCAAGCAACUGUUUUAUCAAAAACACAGGUCUCCGCUAAGUCGUAAGACGAUGUAUGGGGGCUGACGCCUGCCCAGUGCCAGAAGGUUAAAGAAGUUGGUUAGUGUAUGCGAAGCUGAUGACUGAAGCCCUGGUGAACGGCGGCCGUAACAAUAACGGUCCUAAGGUAGCGAAAUUCCUUGUCGGGUAAGUUCCGACCCGCACGAAAGGCGUAAUGAUUUGGAUACUGUCUCGGAGAGAGGCUCGGUGAAAUAGACUUGUCUGUGAAGAUGCGGACUACCUGCACCAGGACAGAAAGACCCUAUGAAGCUUUACUGUAACUUGAAAUUGGAAUUGGACUUUGCUUGCGCAGUAUAGGUGGGAAGCGUUGAAGAUAUUCUUGCGGGAGUAUUGGAGCUAUCAGUGAGAUACCACUCUUGUAAUGUUAGAUUUCUAACUUUGAACCAUAAUCUGGUCAAAGAACAGUCUCAGGUGGGCAGUUUGACUGGGCGGUCGCCUCCCAAAUGGUAACGGAGGCGUACAAAGGUUUCCUCUGAACGGAUAGAAAUCGUAUCUAGAGUGUAAAGGCAUAAGGAAGCUUGACUGUGAGACCUACAAGUCGAGCAGGGACGAAAGUCGGUCUUAGUGAUCUGACGGUACUGAGUGGAAAGGCCGUCACUCAACGGAUAAAAGUUACUCUAGGGAUAACAGGCUGAUCUCCCCCAAGAGUUCACAUCGACGGGGAGGUUUGGCACCUCGAUGUCGGCUCAUCGCAUCCUGGGGCGGUAGUACGUCCCAAGGGUUGGGCUGUUCGCCCAUGAAAGCGGUACGCGAGCUGGGUUCAGAACGUCGUGAGACAGUUCGGUCCAUAUCCGGUGUAGGCGCUAGAAUAUUGAGAGGAGCCUUCUUUAGUACGAGAGGACCGAGAAGGACACACCGCUGGUGUACCAGUUAUCGUGCCAACGGUAAACGCUGGGUAGCUAUGUGUGGAGUGGAUAACCGCUGAAAGCAUCUGAGUGGGAAGCCCACCUCAAGAUGAGUAUUCUCC